rnacentral:rRNA from 1 species
CACGUAGGGCGCAAGCGUUAAUCGGAAUUACUGGGCGUAAAGCGUGCGCAGGCGGCUUUGCAAGACAGAUGUGAAAUCCCCGGGCUUAACCUGGGAACUGCAUUUGUGACUGCAUGGCUAGAGUGCGGCAGAGGGGGAUGGAAUUCCGCGUGUAGCAGUGAAAUGCGUAGAUAUGCGGAGGAACACCGAUGGCGAAGGCAAUCCCCUGGGCCUGCACUGGACGCUCAUGCACGAAAGCGUGGG